GAUAAACUCUAUGUUUCCUAGAUGCAAAAUGCCAGCCAACAGCCUCAAAACUUCUCGCACCUCCUCCUUGCUGAACUGCAUCACUUCCAUUGCAGUAAUGACUUCUUUGAAAGAAUCCUUGUCACUGAUUGUCUUAUCCACUAUACAUCCAGACUGAUUCAGGUAGUGGUAGUUCUCCGGUACAGAUAAGUAAAAAGCAUCUUUCUCUCUCUCUUCUAUCCCUGCCAGCAGAGCAUAAAAUAUAUGAUAAUUUCUUUCCCCAGGAUUUUGUCUUACUACACGAUUUUUUUCCAAUAAAU
rnacentral:lncRNA from 1 species